rnacentral:rRNA from 1 species
AGCAACAGGGAUUGCCCUAGUAACGGCGAGUGAAGCGGCAAGAGCUCAAAUUUGAAAUCUGGCUCCUUUGGAGUCCGAGUUGUAAUUUGUAGAGGGUGCUUUGGUGUCGGCUAUGGCCUAAGUUCCUUGGAACAGGACGUCACAGAGGGUGAGAACCCCGUAUGUGGCUGCUAGCCUUCACCAUGUAAAGCCCCUUCGACGAGUCGAGUUGUUUGGGAAUGCAGCUCUAAAUGGGAGGUAAAUUUCUUCUAAAGCUAAAUAUUGGCCAGAGACCGAUAGCGCACAAGUAGAGUGAUCGAAAGAUGAAAAGCACUUUGGAAAGAGAGUCAAAAAGCACGUGAAAUUGUUGAAAGGGAAGCGCUUGCAGCCAGACUUGCUCGUAGUUGCUCAUCCGAGCUUUUGCUCGGUGCACUCUUCUGCGAGCAGGCCAGCAUCAGUCCGGGCGGUUGGAUAAAGGCUCUGGGAAUGUAGCUCUCUUCGGGGAGUGUUAUAGCCCAGGGUGUCAUGCAACCAGUCUGGACUGAGGUCCGCGCAUCUGCUAGGAUGCUGGCGUAAUGGCUGUAAGCGGCCCGUCUUGAAACACGGACCAAGGAGUCUAACAUCUAUGCGAGUGUUUGGGUGUCAAGCCCGGGCGCGCAAUGAAAGUGAACGGAGGUGGGAACCCUUCGGGGCGCACCAUCGACCGAUCCUGAUGUCUUCGGAUGGAUUUGAGUAAGAGCAUAGCUGUUGGGACCCGAAAGAUGGUGAACUAUGCCUGAAUAGGGUGAAGCCAGAGGAAACUCUGGUGGAGGCUCGCAGCGGUUCUGACGUGCAAAUCGAUCGUCAAAUUUGGGCAUAGGGGCGAAAGACUAAUCGAACUAUCUAGUAGCUGGUUCUGC